rnacentral:rRNA from 1 species
GAUGAACGCUGACAGAAUGCUUAACACAUGCAAGUCUUUGGCGAAGCUGUGCUUGCACAGCCUAGCCAAGGCGGACGGGUGAGUAACGCGUAAGGAACUUGCCCUGCAGUCAGGGAUAACAGACGGAAACGACUGAUAAGACCUGGUAAAGUCAGGCGGACUCAUGUCCAGCCUGAUGAAAAGAGAUGCUGCAGGAGAGCCUUGCGUCCUAUUAGCUUGUUGGUGGGGUAACGGCCCACCAGGGCGAUGAUAGGUAGCCGGCCUGAGAGGGUGGACGGCCACAAGGGGACUGAGAUACGGCCCUUACUCCUACGGGAGGCAGCAGUGGGGAAUAUUGGACAAUGGGGGCAACCCUGAUCCAGCAAUUCUGUGUGCACGAUGAAGGUUUUCGGAUUGUAAAGUGCUUUCAGCAGGGAAGAAAAAAAUGACGGUACCUGCAGAAGAAGCGACGGCUAAAUACGUG